rnacentral:rRNA from 1 species
AGCAUAUCAAUAAGCGGAGGAAAAGAAACUAACAAGGAUUCCCCUAGUAACUGCGAGUGAAGCGGGAAAAGCUCAAAUUUAAAAUCUGGCGGCUUUGGUCGUCCGAGUUGUAUUCUAGAGAAGUGUUUUCCGCGUUGGACCGUGUAUAAGUCUCUUGGAACAGAGCGUCAUAGAGGGUGAGAAUCCCGUCUUUGACACGGACUACCAAUGCUUUGUGAUGCGCUCUCAAAGAGUCGAGUUGUUUGGGAAUGCAGCUCAAAAUGGGUGGUAAAUUCCAUCUAAAGCUAAAUAUUGGCGAGAGACCGAUAGCGAACAAGUACCGUGAGGGAAAGAUGAAAAGCACUUUGGAAAGAGAGUUAAACAGUACGUGAAAUUGCUGAAAGGGAAACGCUUGAAGUCAGUCGCGUUAUCUAGAACUCAACCAGGCUUGCUUGGCGUAUUUUCUAGUUAACGGGCCAGCAUCAGUUUUGACCGCAGGAAAAAGGCCAGGGAAAUGUGGCACCUUCGGGUGUGUUAUAGUCUCUGGUCAUAUACUGUGAUUGGGACUGAGGACCGCAGCACGCGCAAGUUGUGCUUAGGAUGCUGGCGUAAUGGCUUUAAACGACCCGUCUUGAAACACGGACCAAGGAGUCUAACAAACCUGCGAGUAUUUGGGUGGUAAACCCGAGUGCGUAAUGAAAGUGAAAGUUGGGAUCCCUGUCGCGGGGAGCACCGACGCCCGGACCAGACCUUCUGUGACGGAUCUGCGGUAGAGCAUGUUUGUUGGGACCCGAAAGAUGGUGAACUAUGCCUGAAUAGGGUGAAGCCAGAGGAAACUCUGGUGGAGGCUCGUAGCGAUUCUGACGUGCAAAUCGAUCGUCAAAUUUGGGUAUAGGGGCGAAAGACUAAUCGAACC